rnacentral:rRNA from 1 species
CCUCUCGACCUAUAUGAGAGGUCCAGCCUGCCCAGUGACUAAGUUCAACGGCCGCGGUAUCCUAACCGUGCGAAGGUAGCGUAAUCACUUGUUCUUUAAAUGAGGACUAGUAUGAAUGGCACCACGAGGGUUACACUGUCUCCUUUUUUUAAUCAAUGAAACUGAUCUUCCCGUGAAGAAGCGGGAAUGUAAAUAUAAGACGAGAAGACCCUAUGGAGCUUUAAACAAUAAUAGCACUGGCCCACACCUUUGAUUCUCCUGAGAGAUAAUUAUUAUUUAGACCAAUAUGACUAUUAGUUUUAGGUUGGGGUGACCGCGGAGCAAACACCAACCUCCACGUUGAAUGGAGCAACUCCUGAGCUAAAAGCUACAACUUUAAGCACCAAUAAACUGACAUUAAUUGACCCAACAUGUUGAACAACGAACCAAGUUACCCUAGGGAUAACAGCGCAAUCCAUUUCAAGAGCCCCUAUCGACAAAUGGGUUUACGACCUCGAUGUUGGAUCAGGGUAUCCCAGUGGUGCAGCCGCUACUAAAGGUUCGUUUGUUCAACGAUUAGAACCCU